rnacentral:rRNA from 1 species
CCCUUCGGGGGUACUCGAGCGGCGAAAGGGGUAGUAAUGCAUAGGUAACCAACCCUGGGGACCGGAAUAGCCGCGGGAAACUGCGGGUAAUACCGGAUAACGAAUCUUAAGCGGAAGCUUCAUAUUCCAAAUGGUGUGAUUCCGCCUUGGGACCGGCCUAUGUCCUAUCAGCUUGUUGGUAAGGUAACGGCUUACCAAGGCUACGACGGGUAGGGGGGUGUGAGAGCAUGGGCCCCCACCACUGGGGACUGAGACACUGCCCAGACACCUGCGGGUGGCUGCAGUCGAGAAUCUUUGGCAAUGGGCGAAAGCCUGACCAAGCGACGCCGCGUGCGGGAUGAAGGCCUUCGGGUUGUAAACCGCUGUCAGAGGGGAGGAAAUGCAAAGGGGCUAUCCCCUUGUUUGACCUAUCCUCAGAGGAAGCACGGGCUAAGUUCGUGCCAGCAGCCGCGGUAAGACGAACCGUGCGAACGUUGUUCGGAAUCAUUGGGCUUAAAGGGUGCGUAGGCGGCUGAGUAAGUCGGGUGUGAAAUCCCUCGGCUCAACCGAGGAAUUGCGCUCGAUACUGCUUGGCUUGAGAGAGAUAGGGGCGUGUGGAACUUCCGGUGGAGCGGUGAAAUGCGUUGAUAUCGGAAGGAACGCCGAUGGCGAAAGCGACACGCUGGGUCUACUCUGACGCUGAGGCACGAAAGCUAGGGUAGCGAACGGGAUUAGAUACCCCGGUAGUCCUAGCUGUAAACGAUGAGCACUGGGUUGAGGAGGUUCCUAUGCUUUCUCAGCCGAAGCAAAAGU